rnacentral:rRNA from 1 species
UGAACGCUGGCGGCGUGCUUAACACAUGCAAGUCGAACGAGAACAUGCAGUAGCAAUACUGUGAUGCUAAGUGGCGCACGGGUGAGUAAUGUAUAGGUAACAUGCCCUUAAGAGGGGGAUAACAGAGGGAAACCUCUGCUAAUACCCCAUAACCCUUCUUAUCAUAAGAUAAGUUGGCAAAGUUUUUUCGCUUAAGGAUUGGCCUGUAUAGUAUCAGCUUGUUGGUGAGGUAAUGGCUCACCAAGGCUAUGACGCUUAACUGGUCUGAGAGGAUGAUCAGUCACACUGGAACUGAGACACGGUCCAGACUCCUACGGGAGGCAGCAGUGGGGAAUAUUGCACAAUGGGGGAAACCCUGAUGCAGCAACGCCGCGUGGAGGAUGACACUUUUCGGAGCGUAAACUCCUUUUCUGUUAGAAGAUAAUGACGGUAUAACAGGAAUAAGCACCGGCUAACUCCGUGCCAGCAGCCGCGGUAAUACGGAGGGUGCAAGCGUUACUCGGAAUCACUGGGCGUAAAGAGCGUGUAGGCUGUUUAGCAAGUCAGAAGUGAAAUCCUAUAGCUCAACUAUAGAACUGCUUUUGAAACUGCUUUACUAGAGUGUGGGAGAGGCAGAUGGA